UGAGGAAUAUUGGUCAAUGGACGAGAGUCUGAACCAGCCAAGUAGCGUGAAGGAUGACUGCCCUAUGGGUUGUAAACUUCUUUUAUACGGGAAUAAAGUGAGGCACGUGUGCCUUUUUGUAUGUACCGUAUGAAUAAGGAUCGGCUAACUCCGUGCCAGCAGCCGCGGUAAUACGGAGGAUCCGAGCGUUAUCCGGAUUUAUUGGGUUUAAAGGGAGCGUAGGCGGACGCUUAAGUCAGUUGUGAAAGUUUGCGGCUCAACCGUAAAAUUGCAGUUGAUACUGGGUGUCUUGAGUACAGUAGAGGCAGGCGGAAUUCGUGGUGUAGCGGUGAAAUGCUUAGAUAUCACGAAGAACUCCGAUUGCGAAGGCAGCUUGCUGGACUGUAACUGACGCUGAUGCUCGAAAGUGUGGGUAUCAAACAGGAUUAGAUACCCUGGUAGUCCACACAGUAAACGAUGAAUACUCGCUGUUUGCGAUAUACAGUAAGCGGCCAAGCGAAAGCGUUAAGUAUUCCACCUGGGGAGUACGCCGGCAACGGUGAAACUCAAAGGAAUUGACGGGGGCCCGCACAAGCGGAGGAACAUGUGGUUUAAUUCGAUGAUACGCGAGGAACCUUACCUGGGCUUGAAUUGCAACUGAAUGAUGUGGAGACAUGUCAGCCGCAAGGCAGUUGUGAAGGUGCUGCAUGGUUGUCGUCAGCUCGUGCCGUGAGGUGUCGGCUUAAGUGCCAUAACGAGCGCAACCCUUAUCGAUAGUUACCAUCAGGUUAUGCUGGGGACUCUGUCGAGACUGCCGUCGUAAGAUGUGAGGAAGGUGGGGAUGACGUCAAAUCAGCACGGCCCUUACGUCCGGGGCUACACACGUGUUACAAUGGGGGGUACAGAAGGCAGCUACACGGCGACGUGAUGCUAAUCCCGAAAGCCUCUCUCAGUUCGGAUUGGAGUCUGCAACCCGACUCCAUGAAGCUGGAUUCGCUAGUAAUCGCGCAUCAGCCACGGCGCGGUGAAUACGUUCCC
rnacentral:rRNA from 1 species